rnacentral:rRNA from 1 species
GUAAGGAAUAUUGGUCAAUGGGGGCAACCCUGAACCAGCCAUGCCGCGUGAAGGAUGAAGGCGUUAUGCGUUGUAAACUUCUUUUGUAUGGGAAGAAUGACAGGGAUUCAUCCUUGGAGAGACGGUACCAUACGAAUAAGCACCGGCUAACUCCGUGCCAGCAGCCGCGGUAAUACGGAGGGUGCAAGCGUUAUACGGAAUCACUGGGUUUAAAGGGUACGUAGGCGGUUAAUGAAGUUAGGAGUGAAAGACUGUCGCUCAACGACGGAUGUGCUAUUGAUACUGGUUAACUGUAAUCAGGUUAGAGUUGGCGGAAUGGGUCAUGUAGCGGUGAAAUGCUUAGAUAUGACUUGGAACACCGAUAGCGAAGGCAGCUGACUGAGCCUUGAUUGACGCUGAGGUACGAAAGUGUGGGUAGCGAACAGGAUUAGAAACCCGGGUAGUCC